GUACUCGCUUUGGCAGAACAUACACUAAAAUUGGAAUGAUACGGAGAAGAUUAGCAUGCCCCCUGCACAAGGAUGACACACAAAUUCACGAAGCAUUCCAUAUUUAA